rnacentral:rRNA from 1 species
UGUCUAAGUAUAAGCAAUUAUACAGCGAAACUGCGAAUGGCUCAUUAUAUAAGUUAUCGUUUAUUUGAUAGUACCUUACUACUUGGAUAACCGUGGUAAUUCUAGAGCUAAUACAUGCUAAAAAUCCCGACUUCGGAAGGGAUGUAUUUAUUAGAUUAAAAACCAAUGCCCUCCGGGGCUCACUGGUGAUUCAUGAUAACUCCUCGAAUCGCAUGGCCUUGUGCCGGCGAUGGUUCAUUCAAAUUUCUUCCCUAUCAACUUUCGAUGUUUGGGUAUUGGCCAAACAUGGUUGCAACGGGUAACGG